GACGAACGCUGGCGGCGUGCUUUACACAUGCAAGUCGAACGGUGAAGGAGAGCUUGCUCUCCGGAUCAGUGGCGAACGGGUGAGUAACACGUGGGCAACCUGCCCCAGACUCUGGGAUAACUCUUCGAAAGAGGGGCUAAUACCGGAUAUUCGAUCGGGAGGACAUCCUCCUGCUCGGAAAGAAUUUCGGUCGGGGAUGGGCCCGCGGCCUGUCAGCUUGUUGGGGAGGUAACGGCUCACCAAGGCAACGACGGGUAGCCGGGCUGAGAGGGCGACCGGCCACACGGGGACUGAGACACGGCCCAGACUCCUACGGGAGGCCGCAGUGGGGAAUAUUGGGCAAUGGGCGCAAGCCUGACCCAGCAACGCCGCGUGAGGGAUGAAGGUCCUCGGAUUGUAAACCUCUUUCAGCAGGGACGAAGCGAAAGUGACGGUACCUGCAGAAGAAGCACCGGCUAACUACGUGCCAGCCGCCGCAGUAAAAC
rnacentral:rRNA from 1 species